AGCUUUAUCAUCCUGGUAAUCUCUUAGACCAACAAGUAUGAUGUCACCAGCAGCAAUCCAAACCUUCUUAUGCAUCUUACCACGGAUAUGGCAAAGACGCUUAACACCGUCAAUGCACAUAACGUCGCAUCGACCGUUACCGAGCAUACGAAGAACUUGUGCGUAUUCUUGUCCAUCUUCUUUGAAUAUAAGCUCUCGCUUUUCGUCAUCAGCUUCGUUCUUUCCUCUCUUCCUGUUCUUUCCUCCCUUUCCUUUGUUCUUCGGCAUCGUCUCUGUAUCAAA
rnacentral:sRNA from 1 species